UACGGGGUGGGGCUGAGGACAAAUACACAUGCGUUAAUCGCACGUUAAAAUAAUUAGUGGCGUUAUUUUAUUUGGCGUUCACACUUUAUUAACGCGUUAUUAACCCGUUAACUUGACAACCCUAAAAAAAAAACGUUUUCCUUCUCUCAGGGACAUUUCACGAGGGUAUGAGGCAGUUCCUAUUGCCUGUGUUAAUAAUGUGGACAGCGAGCCGAGCCCGGAAAACUUUAAGUACAUCCCUGACAGCUGUGUGACCUCCGCCCUGAACAUAGACCGAGACAUCACUCAUCUACAGCACUGCAGCUGCACAGAAGACUGCUCCUCCAGCAGCUGCAUGUGUGGGCAGCUCAGUCUGCGCUGCUGGUAUGAUGGAGAGGGUCGACUACCCCUGGACUUCUGUCAGAGGGAGCCCCCCGUGCUCUUUGAGUGUAACCACGCUUGCUCCUGCUGGAGGAGCUGCAGGAACAGAGUGGUGCAGAACGGCCU